UUUUUUUGGCAAACCCUGUUUGAUUCCCAAGAAAAUCCAUCCCCCAUUCGAUUUCCGGGAAAAUUCAUCCUCGUUUGAUUUCCGAGAAAAUUCGUCCUCGUUUGAUUUCCGAGAAAAUCCAUGCAAAACCCUUAAGGAAAACCAAAAAAAAUUGCUUUUUUUUUUUUUCUCCCUGUGUUUUCUGAUCUGUUCUAGGGUCGCUUUGCUUUUGUGCCAUUGGAUUUAAAAUUCACGAACCCUAAAUCCACGAUUUUUGAGCCAGGCUGAAAAACAACUUUGCCUGCGAGUCAUGAUCAGAUUACCAAGGAACAUCUUAUGUUUUUAAAAAAAAAAAUAAAAAUUGGACAGAUUUUGUAUCCUGUGCGCGGGCUGGACUGGUAGGAAAUAUCGGGAAAUUUCCCGAAAAAUCGGCGAUACAAACCGAAAUUUCACCGAUUUUUUGCUUACAGCCAUGUUUCGGUGAUUUUUUCGCCGAUUUUAACAGAAAUUUGGCGAAAUUUCUCCCGUCGAAAUUUCGCCCCCCUCUUUCGUAUCGCCGGCCACCGAAACCCGAAAUUUCGGCGAAAAAAAUGGAAACUUUCAUCCUUGCCCAAAAGUACCUAACGUAUCCAUCCUUGUGUAUAGCUUUUGGAUACAAACCUCAUCUCUUCACUUUUCCUUUCCAACCCAACCACUGAUCAUAGGUAAAUAUGAUAGUUUGAGGGGUUUGUGAAGAGAAGAAAGGAGCUAGGUGGUUUAGAAUUACUUGCAGGCUCAAAAUCAAAGAGAGUGACUAGACAUUUUUCACCCCCAAUGUGAUGUAAUUUUUUAUGAAAUCAAUUUUUUUAACACACGAUUAGCCCAUGCGUCCACAUGACUAUAGAUCACGUGACAGGCAGGGAGCACGUGCCAAGUGUAGAAUGACCAAAAUGCCAUUGGACAGGGGAAUAGCCGAAUCCCCACUCCGUAGUUCUUGUAGGGUAACCCCAGGCCAAGGCAGACCCAUUUCUAACGCUCAUAAAAAUAAAAAAUAAAAAAUUAAAUCAAAAUAGAAAAGAGAAGAAAAGUAUAGAUUACCAUAAAACCAUCAAAUUCUCUUAUAGAGACUCUAGGACGUUGCCGUAGCUCUCAAAAGCCUCACCUCAUUUCUUCACAUCCAAUCCAACGCUACUCUCUCUUUUUCUCUCUCCCAUUCUCUGGAAUCUGAGCAGCGCUAACACAAAUCUUGUUCUCCUCGGUACUGGGUUCUAGAGGAAAGAAAAGAUGGCAAAGGGGCUGAUAUGGGCCACAGCAGAGGACUUAGCUAGGAACCGAGGAAAAGUGUUAUCACUGUACAGGCAGAUACUGAGGAGCAUAAACUCACCCAAGUUGGAGCUGAGCUUGGCUGCACGAUUGGCAAAGAAAGCAGAGGUUAGAUCAAUAUUCAUGCUGGCUGCUGAGGAGAGGUCUCUGCACAACAUUGCUGAUCUAAUUGACACUGCUCACUACUCUCUCUCCCUCUUGAGGAAUGGCCAAAUCCCCAAAUACAUCCAAUGAGUCAAGAGUAAUGUUGUUGUUGCAUUUGCAAUAAAUUCUUACUCAAUGUGAUUGAAUUUGGUUGAGAAAAUCUUUGGGAAUAGGUUGGGGAGUAUCAAGCGUUUUGCAUGAAUGAGUGAUCAAUUUGAUUUGUUCUUCUUUCUUUGACUUAGCUUUCUAUUCUUUCAUGGAAAUGCAUUAUUUGUAGAAAUAUUUUCCAUGUUUAGCAUAUUACAUUCAAGCCAUGUUUGGUAUAUGAGAAUAUGAAAUGGGAAUUAAUAUUUUGUUUCCAUUCCUAUUUCUUAUUGAAUGGGAAUGAAUUUCGUGGUUCCAUUUUUUGUGUUUGGAUGAGCCUAGGAAUGUAAGGUUAGAAGAAUCAAUUGUUUACAUUUUGAGGGUGUUUGGUAUGCGGAAAUAAGGAGUCGGAAUGGACAUCCCAUUCCUUUUCUCCCUUAUUCCCAUGUUUUGAUAACUUAUAUGAAGGUAGGAAUGGAAUAGAAAAUGAUUCUAGUAGAAAUGAAAUCCCACUUAUAAGUGGGAUUUCAAUUCAUUACUCAUAGGUGAUAUUCUGAUUCAUUCAUCCCAUGACAUAAUGUAAAAUAGCCUAAAAUUAACUGCUAAAUAGUAGAUUUGAAGUGGUUUUUGGAGCUCAACUAUUGAACUAACUGCUAAAUAGGAACUAAAUACUCUUUUCCUCUUUGUUUUGACUCAAAAAGGGACUGGUGUUCUACUCUAUACUUGUAAUUUGACAAGCAGAUGACUGGAUAUGAAAAACUUAAGAUAUCAUAGACUAGUAACCUAACCAUACCCAGGAGAUUCCAUUCAUCCUUCAUAUUCUUGUCAGACACACUUGAAUGUUGACAGUAACCGAAAAAGAUGGUUGAAUUUUGUUAUAAUUUUGGAGGUAGGAAUGCUGUUAGAGGUUGCCCAUCUCAAUACGAAUAAUAUUGUUAUCAUUAUAUCACUAGUUCAGCAAAUCUUAAACUAAAACCUCGAGGCUGUUUAAAUAAUUGCAAUUAGUUAUCAGCAACAUGUUACUUUAAAAAGUUGGCUACCCAAAUACAUCUAUUUGCGUUUGUCUCUUCCAUGGAAACCUCUAUAAAUCUGUUGGUAAAAAAGAGGAGGAAGGCUUGGAAGGUUGCUCCGUUGUGUCUGUUUUGGGCUUUAUGGCGGGAGAGGGAUAGGAGGGCUUUUGACAACUUUGAAAGCACGCAUCAAACAAUUAAAAAUUCUUUAUUGUAUCUAUUUUGGGAUUGGGUUAGAUUGUACAUUGAUGGCGGUUCUUUAUUAUUGUUAGACUUUGUGGAUUGGGUAGGCUCUUGGUACGCAUGGUAACGGGUUUUUGUGUCUUCAUGCCUUUUUUAUCUUUUGUUUUCUUCAUAUACGACAUGUAUAUUUUCUUUCUUUUAAUACAGUUCUUAUUUAUCUAUCAAAAAAAAAAAAAAAAUGGGAACCUCUAUAAAUCCAGUUCCCUUCUUCCCCUUCUGAUCCAAACCCUCCAACACAAUCAACAUACUAUUCUUGCUCUCUGCUUUGAACUCUUAUCACAACAGUUCCAUAUCUGUCUCCAUAGCCUCAAAUGGCUUUGAGAAUACUUGAGAUAGGCUUAGUCCUGGCCCUUGUGGCCAUGCUAUGAGGUGGAGUUGCAGCUCAGUCUAGUUGCAACAGGGUGAUCAUGGGCAUGGCCCCAUGCCUAAACUACAUUUCAGGAAAUCCAUCAACCCCAUCAUCUUCAUGCUGCUCACAGCUUGCCAGCAUCAUUCAAUCACAGCCUCAGUGCCUUUGCUUGGUGCUCAAUGGCAGUGGUGCGUUGUUAGGUAUCACUGUAAACCAAACUCUUGAUGUAGCUCUCCCUGGUGCCUGUAGUGUGCAAACUCCACCAGUUAGCCAGUGUAAUGCUGCCAGUGGACCUACAACUUCAGCAACUUCCCCAGGGAGCUCACCAGCAGAUUCUUCAGAUGAAACUCCUGAAGUUCCAACCACACCAUCAGAGUCGGGCAUCCCUUAAGCUGCUAAUGGGCCAACAGCUUCGGCUAUUUCCCCUGAGAGUUCUCCAGCAGAUUCUUCAGAUGAAACUCCUGAUGUAACUCCAACCACACAGUCACUGCCAAGCAUUCCUUCAG